rnacentral:lncRNA from 1 species
AUGGGCAGGGGUCUUGUCAUGGGAGGUAGAGGUACCCAGAGUCCUUACCGGAAUCCACAGGAUGUGGGAUUCUUCUCUUGGCUGAUGCUGCUCAGUGGUGGUUCUUUCUUGUGUUUUACCAGAUUUUCUCUUGUGUCGGGGGCAGCCUGCAUGCUUUUCCUUGUGGCUAAUCUCCUGGGGCAAGUAUACCAGGUUCACGUGGAUAAAGGAGGGACUAGAGCUUCUGAAAGCAUAUUCCGCCUAUGGGACCACUCACUGCUCUUUGUAUUCAAAACACCAUCUUCCCGGAAAAACAAAGCUGGACCCUACCGGUUUGGGAGUCUGAUGCAGUGGACCCCCCAAGAACACUAAGCAAAGCUGUCAUUUACUUGUAUGGUCUUGAAUAUAAAUGUAAGUGGGGAUUAUACUGCCCCUCACACAUUAGUCCCUCCCUUCAGGUUUUUGAAGAUGAAAUGAGAUUCUGAUUGUGAAAGUACUUUAUUAGCCAGAUGUGUUUACAUACGAGCAAGUAGGUGUUGAGUGGUACCUAUGCUUUUUGUUCUUUUUUGAUGUUUGUUGUGCUUUCUGCCUAGCCAGAAGUGUCAGCUCGCCUCUGGAAACCUGGGACUUAGGUGCUGGUUCUACCAGCUCCAAAGGGCUGAAUCAGGCUCAAGCCCCUUUGUUCUUAUCUAGUCUCAGUUUGUGGCUAGGAUGUUGGCAUGAGGGAUUAACCAGUUCCAUGGUAUGACAGGUGAGUCCAGGUACCUGGGAUCCCAUAUUUGGCUUCUGUCUCUCUGCAGUUCUGCAGGGUCCCCUGAUCUCUACUAGGUGCUAACACUUUCCUUCCAAUUCUACCAGCACCUUUACUUUGGGGAGGAAAAUUUCAUUUACAUAUUUUUUACUCAUUCAGCAUGAAAGCCAUCACAAAGCUUUGUCACAGCCAUGAUGGGUAUGGGGCCAGUGGGGAAUCUUAACCACCUUUUGGAGCAUUUUCCUUCUGGGUAGAGGAGACAGGGACAGGAAAUCAUACUGUAUCAGGAACAACCAACCUGACACUUUGGUGCCUGCUUGCUCCAUAGCCUCCUCACAAAUAGAAAUGGGAGGCCAAGCCAGGUCUUCCUUGGGGCACAGAAAACUCUUUGGCUUGGAAAUCAAUCCCACUGAGAUUUGCCUUGAGCUCUCUCAAAGCAGUGCUGUUAGCUACUGGGCAGGGUGAUUUCCUUACUCAGCAGUGAUGUGGUGUUUGUGGACCCCAUACUCCACACCUACCCAUGCCAUUUAGCUGUCUGGACUGCAUUUCUUCUUCACAAGUCCUGGAGUUGUAUCCAGCCUUUGAGGUCCAGCUGCAGUUGAACAUGGCCUUCCCCAAGUCAUUCUGGAUAAAGCAACUGCCAGGGCGGGAGUUGGUGCUGAGCAAUGCCAGUCGUGGCUUAUCAGAAUGGUUGGAUGAUAGAUGUAUGUAUGUAUGUAUGUAUGUAUGUAUGUAUGUAUGUAUGUAUGUAUGUAUGUAUGUAUGUUUGUGUGGAACGAUGGAUGGAUGACAGGGGCUGGCAUAAUUUAUCUUGAUUAUCUCUUUCCCCAUCCCUUGUAUCCUGAAACAUGUCAGGCCCAGGUUUUUGCACUGGUAGAGGUUUGGCAAAUGUCAUGAAAAUAAUGACUGAGUUUGCAUGAACAAAUGGUUGUGAGAAUCCAUGUAAGGAGCACGAUCUAUAGGCUAGCCUUAGGAUGAAUGGAUGCUGAUGCUCUGUCCCAUGCUUAUACCUCUGAGCUUAGAUGCAAGCCUUGCAUGGAAAGCUGCGCGUGCACCCUGUCCCAUUUACUUAUGAGAUAAAUGUCACAAGGAAGGAAAAUUAGUGAAUCAGUACAUGGAUGAGAAAUGAGGGCAGACAGGAAUAAGCAAACAUAAUAAGAGAGACAACCAAUAAAUGAAUUAAUACAUAAGUGGGUGUUGGGACC